rnacentral:lncRNA from 1 species
GUCUUGUUCCAACAAAAUGAGGAUAGGUACAGAAAAGGAAAAAAAAAACAACACUAAAUAAUUAAGCCAUAAGGAUGGGGUUCUCAUGAAUGGAAUUAGUGCCCUUACCAAAGAGACCCAGAGAGCUCCUCCCUUUCAGCUACGUGAGGACAAGCAAGAAAAUGGCCGUUAUGAGCCAGGAAGAAGUUCCUCACCACACGCUGAAUCUGCUAAUGCCU